GUGAUUUUCACUUACAUAGAGUACUAAUUUGAUUAAGGAAAAAUCAUGUUCAUUCAUAAUUUUCAUUUUAAAAGUGUAUUGAUUCCUUCUGCAAAUCCAUACUGUCAUGCCUAUUACCCAAUAUCGUCAACGCGGAUAGUUCGUUAGUCGAAAAUACUGAAUAAUUAAACAAACCAAAUGGCAUCACUGGUGGUUCUUUUUUCCACUCCGCUAAACUGUCAUCUCAAACAAAAACAAAUGGAUCAUACAACUGCUAUGAAUACAUUCGACUCGUUUGCUUCCAUCAAUCGGUAAGUGAGAAAGAUGAUUUCUCCCAUCAGUGCGGAUUUCCACUUCUAUCACAGCAGCCAACAACAUCCGUUUUCCUGCAGCAGUAACCUUCAACCCCUGUUGGCAAUGCCGGGGAACAGCAUCAACAGCAGCAGCAGCAGAAUUUGACCAUGGUAUGGUAUUGCGAAGAACUUUCCCCAUUAGAGGUUCCGUGCUUCGCGCACAUUCAAAAUCCUCUUCAGACACGAAAACUCAACGACAAGGAGGUAUUUAUCAACUUGCUCAGCUGAAUUACCACCCGGAGGAACCCGAAUGCACUGAUUCCGUUGUAUAGUAGAAUGAAAAUAGGCGAGGUAAGCGAACGUAAUCGCAUGAUAUUUUAAUAGUUCGCAUUUUUAUCCGGAUCAUACAACUGCUAUGAAUACAUCCGACUCAAUCAAUCGGCGAGUGAGAAAGAUGAUUUACCUCAUCACCACAUUGCUUAUUUCCACUUCUGUCACGCCAGCCAACAGCAUCAGCUUUCCCGCAGCAGUAUCCUUUAAGUCCAGGGUGCUAUUCCGGGGAACAGCAUCAUCAGUAACAGCAGCAGGACCUGGCCAUCGAUAGUAUUUCGAGCAAUUUUCCCCAUCGGAGAUCCCGUGCUUCACGCACAUUGAAGAAACCUCCUCAGCCACAUAUGUGUGUCAAGGAGAAAAAGGAGCUGGAAUCGAAUCGUCAAUCCAGACAACCCGAAUGCACCGAUUGCAUUAUAUAUCUUGUUUAUAUUUUAUAUGCAUUUUGUGUUUUUUUGAAUAAAAUGAUUAAAAUCGAUCAAUGUUUUUCCUUUUCAUGUUUCAUAACAAACCAAUACAAACAAGAGACGAUCAGUGUUGGAAGCAGCGUUACAUGCAGGUCGAC